rnacentral:rRNA from 1 species
AACGAACGCUGGCGACGUGCCUAACACAUGCAAGUCGAACGAGAAAGGGAUUUCGGUCCUGAGUAAAGUGGCGCACGGGUGAGUAACACGUAGGUAACCUACCUCUAAGUUUGGGAUAACCUGUCGAAAGAUGAGCUAAUACUGAAUAAGACCACAGUUUCCUCGGAAGCAGGGGUCAAAGGUAGCCUCUAUUUAUAAGCUAUCACUUAGAGAUGGGCCUGCGUACCAUUAGCAGUUGGUGAGGUAACGGCUCACCAAGGCAAAGAUGGUUAGCUGGUCUGAGAGGAUGAUCAGCCACACUGGAACUGAGACACGGUCCAGACUCCUACGGAGGCAGCAGUGGGGAAUAUUGCGCAAUGGGCGAAAGCCUGACGCAGCAACGCCGCGUGAGUGAUGAA